CCUCCAUCUCCCUAUCUCCAGGUCUCCAUCCCCCCAUCUCCCAGCCUCCAUCUCCCUGCCUCCCGCUCCCCAUCUUUCUGCCUCCAUCUCCUUGCCUCCCUACCUCUAUCUCCCAGCCUCCCUCUCCCCCAUCUCCCUACCUCCAUCUCUCCACCUCCAUCUUCUCUAUCUCCCAGCCUCCAUCUCUUCACCUCCAUCUCCCAGCCUCAAUCUCCCCCACCUUCCUGCCUCCAUCUCCUCUGUCUCCCAGCCUCCACCUCUCCUGUCUACCAGCCUCCACCUCCCCUGUCUCCCAGCCUCCACCUCCCCCGUCUCCAAGCCUCCACCUCCCCUGUCUCCCAGCCUCCAUCUCUCCACCUCCCAGCCUCCACCUCCCCUGUCUCCCAGCCUCCAUCUGCCCUGUCUCCCAGCCUCCAUCUCUCCACUUCCCAGCCUCCACCUCCCCCGUCUCCCAGCCUCCACCUCCCCCGUCUCCCAGCCUCCACCUCCCUCUUCUCCCAGCCUCCAUCUCUCCACCUCCCAGCCUCCACCUCCCCUGUCUCCCAGCCUCCACCCCCCCCCAAGCCGCCAUCUCCCCUGUUUCCCAGCCUCCACCUCCCCUGUCUCCCAGCCUCCACCUCCCCUGUCUCCCAGCCUCCAUCUCUCCACCUCCCUGCCUCCGUCUGCCCCAUCUCUCUCCAUCUCUGCCUCCAUCUCCCUCCAUCCCUCCCCUCUUUCUGCCUCCUCCCUCUCUCUCCACUGAUAUUCAUUUGUGGUAUAUUCGGUUGCCAUGGGAAACCUAAGAAAGAAGUGAGUGUACCCUUCAAGACUUCAGCAUUCUCCCUCCUCCCUCCCUCCUGCUGCCCCCUCCCCCUCCUUCUCUCCUCCUCUCCUCUCCCUCCCUCCCUCCCCUCUCUCCCCCUCGCUUCCUCCUCGCAGAAGGAGAAGACCUGGGUGAGAAGCUGCUGCCGCCUGAGCCAGACUGGGACCGAGACCCCGUUGCUCCUGCUGCCGCUGCCAGCGCAGGGCCUCCCUGAGACCAGGCCAGGGAUAGACCUCGUGGGCCGGAGGGGCCCCCUUAGCCUGCAGACAUCGGAGCCAGGAGACAGAUGGGUCUCUUCCUUCCUGUCCCGUCUCUCAAGCUCCCUCCUCAGAGCUUCAUUCUCCAGCCUCCUGUGGGAAUCGUGGGAAUCGUCUGAAGUUUGAGCCUAGAACCAGAGGAGGAGGAGGAGGAGGAGGAAGAAGACAAGGAAGAGGAGGAGGAGGAGGGAGAGGAAGUCUUGAGAGCCCGUGCACCUUUCCAGAAACAGGCGGUGGGGGUGCGUCCCAGGCCCAUCCUCGGUGGCCCACGCCUGCCAGUAGCACCCCUGAGAGGACCCCCCCCCCACCGCCGCCCUCUACCGCGGUUGGCACCGGCCGCGUCUGCUCCCUCGGGGGGACCCCUGUGCCGGGGGUCGCCCCCAAGAUGGUGGCGGCCCCAGGGAGGACUGUGCCGCCAGCCCCAGCCUCCCGCUGCUAGGUCCCCUGUGCCCCGGGCCCCCCUUACCCCAAGCCCGGCCUUCCAGGGGGGCCACGGCCGGCGUCAUGCUGCGCCUGGGGCUGUGCGCCGCCGCGCUGCUGUGCGUGUGCCGGCCGGGCGCCGUGCGCGCCGACUGCUGGCUCAUCGAGGGCGACAAGGGGUACGUGUGGCUGGCCAUCUGCAGCCAGAACCAGCCGCCCUAUGAGACCAUCCCGCAGCACAUCAACAGCACCGUGCACGACCUGCGGCUCAACGAGAACAAGCUCAAGGCCGUGCUCUACUCCUCGCUCACCGCUUCGGGAACCUCACCGACCUCAACCUCACCAAGAACGAGAUCUCUUACAUCGAGGACGGCGCCUUCCUGGGCCAGUCGAGCCUGCAGGUGCUGCAGCUUGGGUACAACAAGC
rnacentral:lncRNA from 12 species